GUCUUCCGUAGAGACGCUGCCGCUGUUUUGUUGACAUUUUUCUCCAGCAGCUGACUGCUCACAGCUUAGCCUCCAGUUAACGCACAGCUCAACACAAGCUAGCCCUCAGCAUGACGGCAACCAGCAGACACUUCCUCUCAGCUCCCACAAACCACAAACACCUGACAAACAUCCAGAAAAGUCACGAUGAGGGUUAUUUUCUAACCCGCUGUCACUGAGAGAGAUCGCGCGACAGCGAGCGUUAGCUUCAGUUAGCCUGCCGCGCUAAAGCUAGCAGGUAAUUAGCCGGUGUGUUAGCGGAGCCAUGGAGGGGAUUCUGUACAAGUGGACGAAUUACAUGACAGGCUGGCAGCCGCGCUGGUUCGUCCUGGAGAACGGAGUCAUCUCUUAUUAUGACAGCGAGGACGACGUCAGCAAAGGAAGCAAAGGAUCUAUCAAGAUGUCCGUGUGUGACAUCAAAGUUCACCCGACAGAUCUAACACGUCUGGAGUUGAUAAUCCCCGGCGAGCAGCAUUUCUACGUUCGAGCGGUGAACGCUGCAGAGAGACAGAGGUGGCUGGUGGCGUUGGGCUCGUCCAAAGCUGGAACUCUGGACAGCCACAAACACAAAGGUCCAGACUGUCUGAAGACAAAGAUGUCUGAGCUCCGUCUGUACUGUGACCUCCUCGUCCAGCAGGUCCAAACCAUCCAAUCACAGCACACUGACGACUCAGAGGCCCCGCCCACCUCAGAGGCUUCUCUCCUCAGUGCAACCUGUGCGACCUUCAUCAGGACUUUAGAGGAGUGUAUGACGCUGGCCAACCAGAGUCUGACCCCCGACCUCCGACCUCCUGAAAGGAUGAAGAGGUCGAUCAGUCACCCUGGAACAUACAGCUUUGACAGGUCCGGAGUGCUGAAGGAGUACAUGAGUGCAGGUCAAAGGUCGACUCAGCGCAGGAACCGGACCUGCUCCGACAGCUCUGUUUAUGACACCGAACGUGUGCUGCCCGGCCUCAACGGUGACUCGUCCUCCAUUCCUGAAGAGAGAGGAGGCGUCGUGAGCCCAAAGACAACACCCACUGACACAGACACGGACCUGUCCAUCUGAUCAGCUGUUACAAACUCUGACAGGUCAACCUGAACAACAUCAGUGACGCCUCCAGUCGAGGGGCCGACGGGAUCUUCAUUAAACCGAGGAUGAGCUGAUCGUCCUACUUGUGCUUUUUUUCUCUGAAGUCAGCUGAAGCCAAACACGUGCACUUUGAAGUCAUAAUUCAUCUUUCAGGCCGUCUGCGACUGUUUCAGCUGCACGGGACACAGUGGAGACACGGAGAGGAAGAAACUCACAGCUGAGACAUUCUGAGGAUAAAGUAUUCGAUGCUUUAACCCAAACUCUUACAGAUGAAGGUAGCCGACGAUUGUGACCUGGAAAUCCUGGAAAAAUGUGUGAAUGAAAGAUGCAGUUACUGUGACGGCAGCUCACCUGGACGAUCUCAGAGGCAAACGGUCGCAGGAGGAAACUCCCAGGAACAAAAUUACUGAGAAUAACUGAAGUCUUGAUUUGUGGACAGUUUUGUUGCCAGAGUUCAUACGAGAACGAGCAGGAAAUGGUGAAUUCUGGAGGUCUUUUGUCUCGAUAGAAAUCCUGCCACCGUGAAAGAAAAGCAUCUUCUUGUACUGUCUCAUAUUUUCCACAUAUUCAAGAACUCGCCAAACUUUUUUUUUUAUUUGGAAAAAUUGCCAAGCAGCUUCUUCCAGGCCUCUGCAGUUUUGCUUGCCUGCUGACAGCAAAAGUAAAAAAUAACUCCGUCCGUCGUUCUGGCAGCUUCUCGUCUUCGAGGUUGUCAGAAGUCUGAAGAAGAAGAAAACCAGACUGAUGAACGGCGUCUCUGCAGGUUCCUGAAGUCGGGACACGGAUCCAGAGAGCUGGUAAACUUUGCAUCAGAUGCCAAAGUUUGCACAAAUGUAAUGAUUCACAUUAAAUGUGCCAUCGAAGCUUCUUCUCCACAGCUCAGCCGGUCUGCUCCGCCAGGAAAGUGUUUUGAUGUGACGAGUGAAAGAAAAGACUCCAGUUUGACCUGCAGCUCUUUGCUGGAGGAGUUUGCACCCUCUCUUGUUUGCUUCUGCUCAGUGAUCAGGUUUUACUGUUUGAACACGUGCAAAAGACGUCAUCUGAACAGCAAUCAAUCAGUCAUGAUGUAAUCAAUCGUCCGCUGAAGACAAACUAAACUGACCUUGUUCCUCUUGUGAUGGACGGAGAUGUUCUGUGGAUGGUUUCGAUGGCGAUCCUUCACCUGUAAACACAUCGUACUGUGUCAGCACUUCACACACGUCAGCUUUGGCCAAAUACAUAUUCGAUGCUGUCGUAGAUUUGUGUUUAAUAUUCUGUUGCGUCCAAACUGACAGACCACAGCUGCAUUGAUCUCUCCGAUCAAUCAGUAACUCUCCCUCAACAUGCCAUGUGUGUGUGUGUGUGGUUGUUUUUGCACUUUAGAGCUGAAAAAGUCCUUUUUUUUGAAUGUUAUUGCUCUGAAAAAGAAAAAGGAUCAGAACAGUGACGACGGUACUGUGGUGGACACCAGUGAUCACGAUUGUUGAUAUUAAUGUUUAAACAGAACUAUUUUUGUUUCUAGUCAUUGUCUUAUUUUUUUUAAAUUUUGAAAAGGAGUUACAGCAGCCUUAUAUGAUAUAAACAGUAUGUAAACGUUGGAGACUUAUUCUUGUAUCACUUCUACCAAAACGCGUGUUCAGUAUUUGUUGAACACACCGAACCUGUUUAUUCUCGGUGUUUCCUCGAACUUCACGUUCUCUGAAUACUGUGAAGUUUCUCCAGCGAAAUAUCUGGAGCUCCGUCUGUAAUCACUUCAGUCACUGCAGUUUUAAUUUACCAAGCAUGUUGAUUCUCUGCUUAUUUUCAUUACUGAUUUUAUCUCCUGAUUAUUUUCGUUGUUAAUUGAUUAAUCGUUUCGUCUAUAAAAGUGACGUCUUUAAAUUUAAACCCAAAACCAAAAGACUCGUCAUUUUCUCAUAAAUGACAAAGAAAAGCAGCAGAUGUUCCGAAACGAUUAAUUGAUUAUAAAAUAAACAGCAACUAAUUUUCUUUUGAUCAACUAACUGAUGAAUCGAUUAAUCGACUGGACGCUGCAGCUCUCGUUCAGCUUCUUGUGAUUUUAUAAUUUAUAACAGCAUGAUCGUUCUAUAUUUUAUCUUUCAGUGAUCAGAUACAUAUAUUCCUGUUGCCUAUCAGGUUAUUUUAUUUAUAAUUUAAACAUAAGGUGGAUUUUGUAUUAAAGGUAUUUGCAGAAGCUUGUAAAGCAAAAAUAUGAUAAAUAAUGAACAAAAACUAAUCAACUAAUUGAUUUGUUCUGCUAUUUAGAGUGAGUUGGAGUCUUUAAAGGAAUAGUUCAACAUUUUGUAGUCGUAACUGCAAUCUGUGUUUGUAACAAACAAGACACAACAUGUUUAGAGCUGCUGGUAGAUGGUUACGACAGUCAGGCUAAAUGAUUCCCGUCUGCUUCUAGUCUUGAUGCUAAGCUAAGCUAAGCUAACUGCCCACUGGCUCGAGGUUCGUUUUCACUUUCACCAAAAUGUGGAACUAUUCCUUUAAGGUGACACGAAUAUCUUGAUAGGAACGGAGGAGAAACACCUGAAUAAACUGCUGAUUAUUUCCUUUAA